GUGAUUGUGAUUGUGAUUGUUAUCGGUGUUUCGAUCGCUCUUCUUCUUCCUGCUCUGAUUCUUUGGCUGAUUCGUAAAAAAAGAGCCGAUGUCAGAAGAGAGACUGAUGACUCUGUGGAGCAGACAGAUGAUGUGACUUAUACUGAAGUUACUGUGUGCAGUAAAAACAGAUCCAAGAAGAACAAGGUUCGCUGUGAUGAUAAAGUGACUUACGCUUCCAUCAGAGCAACAAAAGCUGGAGCUCAGGAAAACUGCAGUCAACUUUAUGCCUCUGUGAACAAGAACCAUCACAAAUCAGACAAAUAAUUAUACAGAAACCACAUGAGCAGAGCAAUAUGAACCGUGACUCCUGAUGGUUUGAUUCACUGCCAUUAUAAUAAUAUCACAUGUUAAGAAACCAGCUCUGAUGUAUUUGUAGUUAUUGCUGAUUCUGGUCAGAUUAUUGUGUUAUUAGGGGAUCCGUAGAGCACCAGUGAUCCAGAUUUAAUCAUAUGAAAGACUUUAUCUAGAUUAAUGUAAUCCAAACCAAUUUAGCUUUAAAAAACCAUCAGAAAGUGAGAUGAUUACCUGAUCCUGGAUAUAAU